CUCUCAAUUUUAACCAACAAC
rnacentral:miRNA from 1 species